rnacentral:rRNA from 1 species
AGAGUUUGAUCCUGGCUCAGAGCGAACGCUGGCGGCGUGCUUAACACAUGCAAGUCGAGUGCGCAGUCUUCUGUAGCAAUACAGGAGAUCGGCGCACGGCGCACGGGUGCGUAACACGUGGGUAACCUGCCCUCCAAAGGGGGAUAACCCGCCGAAAGGCGGGCUAAUACCGCAUGACAUUCCGGUGGCUUCGGCCGCUGGAAUCAAAGCCCGCAAGGGCGUUGGAGGAGGGGCCCGCGGCCGAUUAGCUUGUUGGCGAGGUAACGGCUCACCAAGGCUUUGAUCGGUAGACCGGUCUGAGAGGAUGGCCGGCCACACUGGAACUGAGACACGGUCCAGACUCCUACGGGAGGCAGCAGUGGGGAAUCUUGCGCAAUGGGCGAAAGCCUGACNCAACGACGCCGCGUGGGGGAUGACCCUUCUCGGAGUGUAAACCCCUU